rnacentral:lncRNA from 1 species
AUGGGAUGCCCAAAAUAAUGUUCGUAUUCUGAUCAUCUUCAAUAGAUAUAGCUAAAUACUGUCCAACGAUAUGCAUUGAAAAUUUAUAUAAUAGAAAAACUCUAUAGUGAUUGGGGGUUCCAUCCGAUGACAGCAUAGCAGACUCACACAAGUUCUAGAUAUAUUACGUUACGGUCCACCGUGGUCAUCCGAAUCCUUCCACC